CACGUAGGCGGACUCUUAAGUCAGGGGUGAAAUCCUGGAGCUCAACUCCAGAACUGCCUUUGAUACUGGGAGUCUUGAGUUCGGGAGAGCUGAGUGGAACUGCGAGUGUAGAGGUGAAAUUCGUAGAUAUUCGCAAGAACACCAGUGGCGAAGGCGGCUCACUGGCCCGAUACUGACGCUGAGGUGCGAAAGCGUGGGAGCAAACA
rnacentral:rRNA from 1 species